rnacentral:tRNA from 1 species
GCCCCUAUAGCUCAGUGGUAGAGCGUCAGUCUCGUAAACUGAAGGUCUGUGUGAAGAGAGACGUAGGGAUA